GCCGCUGCCGCUCCCCGGCGGGGUCCGUGCGGGGCGAGCCCGGCACUAACCCCCCUCCCCGCCCCGGGCUCUGCCCGCCCCAGCCCCGAGCCGCAGCCUGCAGGCUUGGAAGGAUGAGAUUUUUGGGGGUAAACGUCAGUUUCACCCUACACAUGCAAAUAGAUGAAAAAGCAUUUCCAUGAAUAAUAAUCAAGAUAUACAGCUUGGCAAAGGGCCGGUGACCUUCGAGGAGGUGGCUGUGUAUUUC